CCGGCGACCGGCGGACGGGUGCGUAACGCGUAUGUAACCUACCUUUGACAGGGGGAUAACAUCGAGAAAUUGGUACUAAUACCCCAUAACAUCACCGGAGGCAUCUUCGGUGGUUGAAAACUCAGGUGGUCAGAGAUGGACAUGCGUUGUAUUAGCUAGUUGGUGAGGUAACGGCUCACCAAGGCGACGAUACAUAGGGGGACUGAGAGGUCAACCCCCCACAUUGGUACUGAGACACAGACCAAACUCCUACGGGAGGCAGCAG
rnacentral:rRNA from 1 species